GGUACUGAUACUGGUACUGGGAAAGAGGGCGCAGGCCCUCUUCCACCUCCUUUACCUCCCGCCGCCUCGUGUUCUUCUUUAAAAAGCCAGAUGGCGCCAACUCUCAAGUCGUUGGAGAGCGCAGGGCUCCAGGGCUAGCUCAGAGAGAGCGAGGGGGCGGGUGGACCCUCGUGUCUGGGGCUGGAGCUUUCUCUCCGCCUCUGCAGACACCGGUCGGUUUGCUUUUCUCUUUUUUCUUCUCCCACACCCCUCGCAAGAUGCCGACAAGCCCAAAGGAGAGCGGAGUGUCCUGUGUGCCACAUGGAGCUCGGGGGAAAGGAAAUGAUUAAAGCCGUGAGGUUUCCUGGCUCUUCGUGGUGUUUACGCUGACCUUCCGGACCUGACCUUGAGGAUUCCAGCCAUCCCCCUGUUCAUUCCAGCCUAGAUGCUAAGGUUGCCUGACUGGGCUACGAGUCAACUUGGGUGUGGCUGGUCAACUCACCUCCGGGCUGGGCUCUCUCUUACCCUUAGGUCUGAGGCAGAGCUUAAGAACCUGCAUUUCUUAGAACUUCUCAAGCAAUGCUAAAACUAGUCCAAGGAACAGACCUUGAGAGCCACUGUUAUUUAUCCUGUUGAGAAAGUCUGACAGAGAAGGUUAAAAGUGUCCCUGAAUCCUUCAAUAGUCACCUCAUGCUGAGGCUCACAGCAAGUCCUGUCCACUGAGUUUCAGUGGAGGAGAAUGGGGGCUUCCAGAAGGAUUUAGCCUUGCAUGUUUUAAAGCCUAAGGGGAGAAUGAAGUCAAGAUAUUGAAAGGGAAGCUGAAGCAAAGGUGUUUCUACUGUUAUAGAAGGUGAUGUUGACCACCAUACUGCAGUGGACAGCCGUUCUGUAUUGAACGGGAACUGUGGACUGCGCAUGGAUGUCACAGACUCUCUGCCCAGACAUCCCUGGCUCCUGUGGCUUCCCAGUGUUGGGCUCUGCUCUGGCUGCUGAGCCUCGGAGGCAAAUGGGGUGGUUGUGAAAUUGGUGCUCUUAAUGAAGCGAUUCUUGAACCUGAAGUGUGUGAGGAAAUUACCUCAAAGUGAGAGGAGAAAUUGGCCCGUUGGAAAGUUGUUGACCUUUCCAGGAUGGCUUUUAAGAGAAUAGAUUUGUUUUAUUUGACACUCUGGGAAUUAUUUAAUAAAACGCAACAGCCUCAAAAAUGAUCCAGUUUGUUUCAUGUUCAGCAGCCUGGACUAUCUAAGCUAAGCCCCUGAAAUAAGCAUCAUUAUUGGUGAAAUUUUGUUGCAAAAUUGGCAUGGACUAUUUUGAAGUGUCAGACUUCCAGGCGCUAUUUAAGAGUUGGCAAGAGUCAAGACUUUUUAUUGAUUUAAUGACAUUUUUUUUCUUAUUGUCCCCAUAAUCACCUGCUUUAUGAACUGUGGCUAGAGUUGAUGUUGCAACUGGUAAUUUUCUUAGAACCCAAAUUCAUUUAUACUGUUCUGUCUUUUGAUUUCCAUCAUUUCUUGGAAUUGUUAGUGGAUGGAACAAAAAGAGAAUACAUUAUAAACAAUUCAAAAAACCAAAAACAAAAUUCCUUGGACCUUUUACAGAUACCACACAUGCAAAUAACUGUGCCUCUGCAUUCCAAUGGCAUCGAGUAGGGACUGCAUUUUCCUCAUUAACCUCUUUUUUAUACUGAACAGUAUUGUUUUUCAAGCAUGUGUUUAUCUAAAUCCAGGUUGUCAUUUUAAAUGAAUUCACAUAGACUCAACUCAGAUGAGGAGGUAGAAUAUCUUCUCCUUUGACCCCAACAUUUGUACAGUCCUGGCUGGAUUGUUCCCAAGUAAGAAUGCCUACUAUUUUAGGAUGACAUUUGGAGAUUGAUUGUAUGGCUUGCACAACCACAACCCAAACCAACCAUUGGAAGUGCCAAGUAUGUUUUCUCCUUUUUCCUGUGUUGCUGAGGGCAGAAGUAAAAAGGACAAUCUGUGAUGUCCAUCUCAGGACUGAACAUGAUUUUUCCUCUGAUUGCAAACUAUAUAUAGAAUAGAUAUUUUUUUCCAGUGAUAAGGACUCUGAACACAGGACAGCAUUCCAUCUGUGCAAGCACUCUACUACUGAGCUUCACUACCAAGACCUGGAUCCUUAUUUCUAAGGGAUGGAAUGCUCAAUCUAUUUUUAGUCAGUCAUAACUAAUAUUAUAGUUCCUGUGCUAAUAUGUAGACCUUACUCUGAAGCAAUGAGACUUUUCUCAUUUCUCCAGAAACUCAACAAGGCUGUUUAACAAGACUUCACAAUGUCAGGGUAUGUAGUUCCAUGUAUGCUUUGCUUGCAACAAGGACUUGGGUUCAAAUCUCAGAAUAAUAAAGGAGUCAAAGACCCAAAGAGAAAAGAGGAAAGGAAACAAGAUAGGAAGGAAGGAAAUAAUUUUGGUAGGGGCAGAAAUGUAACCUGAUUUAAAAAAAAAAAAAAAAAAAAAAACCUUUUAUGAACACAUACACAAAUCAAUGAUUUUGCCUUAAUACGGAGAAAAAUUUGCAUUGUUUUUGGUGCUGAUAUCUGAGGAAAAAAGGAUGAAAUAUUUUUGUUCAGUUAGCUAAUGUCUAUCUAUGUAAAAAAUCAGCAAGGCAUUAAAAUAACACUCAGUCUAGGUUAAACCUAUCAGUUUGGAAACCCUAUAUCAACUGUUUUUGCUCUGUUGUUAGCUCUGUCUUGCUUUGUCAAUUUUUUUUCAUUCCAUUAUCUUCUUACGCAUUUUUUUCAAACUUGUGUAAUCCCAGCUCAAGACGGCCUGAGUUAGAGCUGGAGAGAGAAUGAACACUGUUUUCUUAGCAUACACAACAUUAAAACGCACCCUUUAAUGUUAUUGGACA